GACGAACGCUGGCGGCGUGCUUAACACAUGCAAGUCGAACGGAAAGGCCCUGCUUUUGUGGGGUGCUCGAGUGGCGAACGGGUGAGUAACACGUGAGUAACCUGCCCUUGACUUUGGGAUAACUUCAGGAAACUGGGGCUAAUACCGGAUAGGAGCUCCUGCUGCAUGGUGGGGGUUGGAAAGUUUCGGCGGUUGGGGAUGGACUCGCGGCUUAUCAGCUUGUUGGUGGGGUAGUGGCUUACCAAGGCUUUGACGGGUAGCCGGCCUGAGAGGGUGACUGGCCACAUUGGGACUGAGAUACGGCCCAGACUCCUACGGGAGGCAGCAGUGGGGAAUAUUGCACAAUGGGCGGAAGCCUGAUGCAGCAACGCCGCGUGCGGGAUGACGGCCUUCGGGUUGUAAACCGCUUUCGCCUGUGACGAAGCGUGAGUGACGGUAAUGGGCAAAGAAGCACCGGCUAACUACGUG
rnacentral:rRNA from 1 species